rnacentral:rRNA from 1 species
CGGGACACGUGGUAUCCUGUCUGAAUAUGGGGGGACCAUCCUCCAAGGCUAAAUACUCCUGACUGACCGAUAGUGAACCAGUACCGUGAGGGAAAGGCGAAAAGAACCCCGGCGAGGGGAGUGAAAAAGAACCUGAAACCGUGUACGUACAAGCAGUGGGAGCACGCUUAGGCGUGUGACUGCGUACCUUUUGUAUAAUGGGUCAGCGACUUAUAUUCUGUAGCAAGGUUAACCGAAUAGGGGAGCCGAAGGGAAACCGAGUCUUAACUGGGCGUUAAGUUGCAGGGUAUAGACCCGAAACCCGGUGAUCUAGCCAUGGGCAGGUUGAAGGUUGGGUAACACUAACUGGAGGACCGAACCGACUAAUGUUGAAAAAUUAGCGGAUGACUUGUGGCUGGGGGUGAAAGGCCAAUCAAACCGGGAGAUAGCUGGUUCUCCCCGAAAGCUAUUUAGGUAGCGCCUCGUGAAUUCAUCUCCGGGGGUAGAGCACUGUUUCGGCAAGGGGGUCAUCCCGACUUACCAACCCGAUGCAAACUGCGAAUACCGGAGAAUGUUAUCACGGGAGACACACGGCGGGUGCUAACGUCCGUCGUGAAGAGGGAAACAACCCAGACCGCCAGCUAAGGUCCCAAAGUCAUGGUUAAGUGGGAAACGAUGUGGGAAGGCCCAGACAGCCAGGAUGUUGGCUUAGAAGCAGCCAUCAUUUAAAGAAAGCGUAAUAGCUCACUGGUCGAGUCGGCCUGCGCGGAAGAUGUAACGGGGCUAAACCAUGCACCGAAGCUGCGGCAGCGACGCUGAUGCGUUGUUGGGUAGGGGAGCGUUCUGUAAGCCUGCGAAGGUGUGCUGUGAGGCAUGCUGGAGGUAUCAGAAGUGCGAAUGCUGACAUAAGUAACGAUAAAGCGGGUGAAAAGCCCGCUCGCCGGAAGACCAAGGGUUCCUGUCCAACGUUAAUCGGGGCAGGGUGAGUCGACCCCUAAGGCGAGGCCGAAAGGCGUAGUCGAUGGGAAACAGGUUAAUAUUCCUGUACUUGGUGUUACUGCGAAGGGGGGACGGAGAAGGCUAUGUUGGCCGGGCGACGGUUGUCCCGGUUUAAGCGUGUAGGCUGGUUUUCCAGGCAAAUCCGGAAAAUCAAGGCUGAGGCGUGAUGACGAGGCACUACGGUGCUGAAGCAACAAAUGCCCUGCUUCCAGGAAAAGCCUCUAAGCAUCAGGUAACAUCAAAUCGUACCCCAAACCGACACAGGUGGUCAGGUAGAGAAUACCAAGGCGCUUGAGAGAACUCGGGUGAAGGAACUAGGCAAAAUGGUGCCGUAACUUCGGGAGAAGGCACGCUGAUAUGUAGGUGAAGUCCCUCGCGGAUGGAGCUGAAAUCAGUCGAAGAUACCAGCUGGCUGCAACUGUUUAUUAAAAACACAGCACUGUGCAAACACGAAAGUGGACGUAUACGGUGUGACGCCUGCCCGGUGCCGGAAGGUUAAUUGAUGGGGUUAGCGCAAGCGAAGCUCUUGAUCGAAGCCCCGGUAAACGGCGGCCGUAACUAUAACGGUCCUAAGGUAGCGAAAUUCCUUGUCGGGUAAGUUCCGACCUGCACGAAUGGCGUAAUGAUGGCCAGGCUGUCUCCACCCGAGACUCAGUGAAAUUGAACUCGCUGUGAAGAUGCAGUGUACCCGCGGCAAGACGGAAAGACCCCGUGAACCUUUACUAUAGCUUGACACUGAACAUUGAGCCUUGAUGUGUAGGAUAGGUGGGAGGCUUUGAAGUGUGGACGCCAGUCUGCAUGGAGCCGACCUUGAAAUACCACCCUUUAAUGUUUGAUGUUCUAACGUUGACCCGUAAUCCGGGUUGCGGACAGUGUCUGGUGGGUAGUUUGACUGGGGCGGUCUCCUCCUAAAGAGUAACGGAGGAGCACGAAGGUUGGCUAAUCCUGGUCGGACAUCAGGAGGUUAGUGCAAUGGCAUAAGCCAGCUUGACUGCGAGCGUGACGGCGCGAGCAGGUGCGAAAGCAGGUCAUAGUGAUCCGGUGGUUCUGAAUGGAAGGGCCAUCGCUCAACGGAUAAAAGGUACUCCGGGGAUAACAGGCUGAUACCGCCCAAGAGU